rnacentral:piRNA from 1 species
AUGCAUAGAGAACUCCGCAUUAA